AUGAAACAAGGAGUUGAGCCUCCUUCUCCUUCUCUCCCCUCCUCUCCUCCUCCCCCUUCUCUCUCCUCCUCCCCCCUCUCUCUCUCCUUCUCCUCCUCCUCCUCCUCCUCCUCCUCCUCCUCUUCUCUCCCCUGUGAUUGGUUCCUUUUUGUUUGUCUCAGGGAAACCAUCCUAAUCCAGAUUUCUUUAAAGACGUCCUCCCAUUGGUCGUUCCAGAGGUCCAGCAGCAGAGGAACGAGGAGGUGGCAGCCCCCCCCCUUACGGACGUCAACAGAUCGACGGCCCCGCCCCCCAAACCCAUCAGCCCCCCCCCCCCGACCCCCACCCAGCCCCCGCUCCCUGCCCCCGUCCAGAAACCCCCCCCCCCCCCCCACUGGGCACCCCCCGUCCUCCCUGGAUUUCGAUCAAUCUCCCUACACCACCCCCCCUUCUUCCCCCCGCACCUCCCCCCCCCCCCCCCCCCCCCCAGCCCAACUCACCUCCCUCCGCCCCCACCGGGACCUCCCCCGUGAGCCCCACCGCCCCUCGGCCCUCCACCGCCCUGCCCCCCAAGCCCGCCCCCAGGCGUCUCUCCCGGCCUCCGCCGGGACCGGAACCCCCCGCAGCUACCCCACCGUCUCCCCUCCCCUCAGACGACGGGUGUCACUUGUGUGGCGUCGUUCCCACGGUAACCUGUGCGUCGUGCUCCCCCCUGCUCUUCUGCGACGUGUGCGAUGGAAUCUUCCACCGCAACCCAGCGAGAGCCAAUCACAAGAGAGAGCCGAUUCCACCCGCCAAAAAGGGUGUGUGAUGACAAUUUCGAAAAAAAACACUGUUUUAUUUCAUUCAAGAGUUAAAAAGAAUACAAAUAUCAAUGAGUUCAUAGGGUCAAAGUGUCAUCUAAACGUUAACCUUUUUGAUUGGGGUUAACCGGUCACAAGAGAACAGGGAUUCCCUUAGGCAUUCUUCUGCUUGAUGAGAACACAGGAAACUCUGUGUCUUGAGGAGAGAGAGAGAGAGAGAGAGAGAGAGAGAGAGAGAGAGAGAGAGAGAGAGAGAGAGAGAGAGAGAGAGAGAGAGAGAGAGAGAGAGAGAGAGAGAGAGAGAGAGAGAGAGGCAGAGGGAGAGGCAGAGGGAGGGAGAGAGGCAGAGAGAGAGAGAGAGAGAGAGAGAGAGAGAGAGAGAGAGAGAGAGAGAGAGAGAGAGAGAGAGAGAGAGAGAGAGAGAGAGAGAGAGAGAGAGAGAGAGAGAGAGAGAGGGAGGGAGGGAGGGAGGGAGGGAGGGAGAGAGGAUAAGUUCUGAGCUUGUGGUCCCCCUCCAGAAGAACCUUUAUUGAUAUGGCCGUGGUCUGACAGGACGUCUGGAAGCCUUUGUUUGUC
rnacentral:lncRNA from 1 species